rnacentral:rRNA from 1 species
UACGAGGGGUGCAAGCGUUGCUCGGAAUUAUUGGGCGUAAAGGGCAGGUAGGUGGUCUCAUUUGUCUGGGGUGAAAUCCCUGAGCUUAACUCAGGAAGUGCCCCAGAAACGGUGAGACUGGAGUCCCGGAGAGGGUCGUGGAAUUCCCGGUGUAGCGGUGAAAUGCGUAGAGAUCGGGAGGAACACCAGAGGCGAAGGCGGCGACCUGGACGGGCACUGACACUCAACUGCGAAAGCGUGGGGAG